GAUGAACGCUGGCGGCGAGCCUAAUACAUGCAAGUCGAGCGAAUCGAUGGGAGCUUGCUCCCUGAGAUUAGCGGCGGACGGGUGAGUAACACGUGGGUAACCUGCCUGUAAGACUGGGAUAACUUCGGGAAACCGGAGCUAAUACCGGAUACUUUCUUUUCUCGCAUGAGGGAAGAUGGAAAGAUGGUUCUGCUAUCACUUACAGAUGGACCCGCGGCGCAUUAGCUAGUUGGUGAGGUAACGGCUCACCAAGGCAACGAUGCGUAGCCGACCUGAGAGGGUGAUCGGCCACACUGGGACUGAGACACGGCCCAGACUCCUACGGGAGGCAGCAGUAGGGAAUCUUCCGCAAUGGACGAAAGUCUGACGGAGCAACGCCGCGUGAGCGAAGAAGGCCUUCGGGUCGUAAAGCUCUGUUGUUAGGGAAGAACAAGUACGAGAGUAACUGCUCGUACCUUGACGGUACCUAACCAGAAAGCCACGGCUAACUACGUGCCAGCAGCCGCAGUAACAC
rnacentral:rRNA from 1 species